rnacentral:rRNA from 1 species
CAGUAGCCGCGGUAACACGGAGGGUGCAAGCGUUAAUCGGAAUUACUGGGCGUAAAGCGCACGCAGGCGGUCUGUCAAGUCAGAUGUGAAAUCCCCGGGCUUAACCUGGGAACUGCAUUUGAAACUGGCAGGCUAGAGUCUUGUAGAGGGGGGUAGAAUUCCAGGUGUAGCGGUGAAAUGCGUAGAGAUCUGGAGGAAUACCGGUGGCGAAGGCGGCCCCCUGGACAAAGACUGACGCUCAGGUGCGAAAGCGUGGGGAGCAAACAGGAUUAGAUACCCCGGUAGUCCCUGUCUCUUAUAC